rnacentral:lncRNA from 1 species
UUCAUUUCCGCUUCCGGUCCGCUGCCACCUUCGGUUGCUUCCCGUCCGCUCGGCGGCUCCCCUCCCCCGCCCGGCUCUCUGCGCCCCUCCCGGGCGCCGGGGCGGCGGGGCCGUCGCUGUGCGGCCCUCCGUGCGUCUGUGCGUGCGCACGUGCGCACUUCUGCUUCCCGCAGCUCGGCGCGCGCCCCGCGACACCGAGGCCGAGCGGGGGCAGGGGGCUGACCGUCAUGACCCCUGGAAGCCCGGUAUAAGCGGGCCGAGGUGAGCGAGGGGCGCAAUGCUGGCCUCCGUCGCGGCAAGUCCGGUGUUCCGGCCUGGGCCGUGGCGCGCGCGGGUCCAGCCAGCCUCGGAGCCGGUGUUCCAGCCGCUGAUGGCUUGUGGCUGCUUUUGUACCGCUGUGCCCGGGUCGGGUUUGCCUGCCGGUGUGUGUCUUUUUUUGGGAUUGUCAGUGUCCCCGUCUCGCGUGGCCCUGCUGUCUGUGUUGCUCUGCUUCUGUGUUUCUGUGUUUGUACAAAAGGGCUUGGAGAUCCGAGUGCUGUUUGUGUCUUGGAUUGCUCCGUGUUCCUGUCAGGAUGCAUGCAAUGCUUGUAUUUUCUGGGUUUCUGUGUCUUCAUUUCCCCAGACUGGUCUCCCUCUUGGUGCAUUAUUUCUCUCCGGGUCAUUGCUGUCGUCCCCAGGCCCAAAAUUCCUUUCUAGGAACCCACUGCUUUUGCUUAGGAUGUGCUUCCCAGGUUUCUGAGUCUCUGGUGUUCUGACAAGAGCUCUGGCUGUGGAUUCCAAAGCCCCCGCUGCUUGCCUUGGUCUUCAGUUUUCCUAGUCUUCUAAACGGAAGCAUUCAUAAUUCCUGCACCACAGGGUCUCUGCGCAUUGGAGUGGUCCUGGUAAAGUGCCUUACAGUGUCUGGCCUGGAGUUAAGCAUGUGAUUAUUAGUAGCUCUAGUUACUAGAGAUUUUGUCUCGCUUAGUAUUUGAUACCAGGUUUUUGAGUCCCCCUUGGGGACUCACUAUAUUGUUUGUACUGUUUAAUAAGAAAUUCUAAAUUAACUGUGGAAAAUGGCCCCAUUUUCAGCAGCAUUUGUGAGAUUUAGUAUGUUUUUUUUGAACAUGCUUGAAGUAGGUAGUUGGUGUUAGGAUAGUGCGUCUUUAGAUGCCACCCUUUUGGAAAUGUUUUUUCUGAUAAUAAUAGCAGCCAGGAGUACCGAGCGCCUACUAUCUGUGGGGCACAGAACCAAGUUCUUUAUGUACCCGUCUUAUUUAAUCAGCAAGCUUGCCGGGCAGCACCCCUCCCUUUGUUACACAGUUAGGUGAACUGAGUCACAGGGUUGUUUUGCUGGUUGCUUAUGUGGCCGGGAUUUGAGUGCAAAUUUUGUGUUCUUUUAAGUUAUAUCUCUUCCCACCCCCCCCCAGCCCUGGGUGUCAUGUGUGUGUUUUGUUUCAGGGUCCCUGUCUUUCUGUCCUCCCUGUCCUCCUGCCUCGCUGUAUUGCUUUCUUUUUGCCCGAGUUUUGGUGUGUCUCUUCUCUUCUCUUCUCUUCUCUUCUCUUCUCUUCUCUUCUCUUCUCUUCUCUCUCUCCCCCCCUCCCUCUUUCUCUCCCUUUCUCCCUCCCUUUCUCUCCCCUCCCCCAGUCUCCUUAUGUUUGUCAUAUGUUUGUCUUCUGGUGUCUGUCCAGGCCUGACUUGGGACCCAGCUGCUUUUUUUUUUUUUUUUUCUUUGCCUAGUUAUGCCUGUUUGCAGGUGCUCCAUUUUCUGGCCUGAAUUCAAGGUAAAGAGCAGCCUUUCCUAUUCUCCUAUGUCUUCCUUCAGGUUGGAUCAUGGUAGGGCUCAGUAAAUCUCCCUCCAUGGCUUGUUGGAGAGGCACAGACUGGUGAUCGGAGUCUACUCUGGACCCAGGCUGCUCCAGUUGUGAGGUGUGUGUCCCUGGGCAAGGUGCUAAUGUGCCCUUGUUCCCUCCUGUGUAAAGUGGCUGUGAGUCAUGGAUUUGUAAGGAUUGAGUUGAUAGCGCAAAGGACUUAAUGGGUGCCUAGAAGGAUGUAAAGGUUGUGGAAGUGCUUGUUAAUAUUCCCCUCAUUUGCUUGAUUUCUGCCCUUGAUGCUUUCUGACAGCUGGUCACAGCACAGGUUAGUUUAUUUAGGUUAAUUUAAAAGCAUGAGUUUAAUGGCACACACCUUUAACUCCGUACUUGGGAGGGGAGGGACACAUGGAUUUAGCUCUUCAAGUUCCAGGACAGUCAAGGCCAUGUAGAGAGAUGUUGUGUCACCCCCUCCCCCCAACCC